UGACUUCUACCCUCCCAUAGGAGGAAGGCAUGAGGAAGAGGAAACAAGACAUCUAAGUCUCUGCUUAACGAGACAAAUAUUUUCUAUUCUUUUCUGUUCAGGAGAAGGGAAGCUCCAGGGGAUGAGCAAUGUAUACACUGAACACACAAGAAAUGCCUUAUCCAGCCUGCUCCUGGAAAUCACUCUCUAGAGACAUCUGGAACGGGUGCCCCUCUGAAAACACCCAAGGGAGAGAGGUGUCACACGGCACAUGGCACGCUCAGGUGUGGGACAGGGAGCACACCCGCAGGUGCAGGUGAGCUCAUGCGUGUGCAUGUGAGCCUUUAGGAGCACGCAUGCAGGUAUGUGUGCUAAAUGCAAUCUGUGUG
rnacentral:lncRNA from 1 species